UGAAAACCCAAUAGUGAUUCAGGCAGGAAAGACUCAAGUUGUCCUUGUGGAACCAGAAUAGAAAAUUGAGUUGUCAUAGUAGGGCCACAGAUCCAGGAUCCAGAUAUGUUAUUACCUAUACCUGAUCAGCUGACUCUUGGGUACAAGAAAGGACAAGAUUACCCUACUCCAGUAACACAGCUCACAGGAAACCGGAAGCAAAGGUGCUGUGGGUGCAAUUCCUGACAGUCAAGCCUUCUCCUGGGAUGGACGGGGACAUGUCAAUGCCUAGUUGGUUGCUGGACUUUGACACACUCACAGCCUGGUCAACAUUCAACCCCUCCCUAAGCCCCUCCUAAGAACAGGCUGACAUCAGAGUGAAACAUUCUCUGAUCUCGAAUCUGAUUUUGGCACCUUAAUCCUGCCCUUCCCCUCCUACCUUCUGAGCUUGUUUGCUCCUCCCUGUGAAAGAAAGUCUUUGUCUGCCUAACCUUUGAGAUCCACAAAGAUCUUACAGCUGUUGCUUUCCCCCUAUUGCAAUACUCCUUUAGAAUUAAGGAACUUCUUAC
rnacentral:lncRNA from 1 species